rnacentral:rRNA from 1 species
AAUGAACGCUGGCGGCAGGCCUAACACAUGCAAGUCGAACGGAUCCUUCGGGAUUAGUGGCGGACGGGUGAGCAACGCGUGGGAACAUACCCUUUGGUACGGAAUAGCCUCGGGAAACUGGGAGUAAUACCGUAUGUGGUCGAGAGACGAAAGAUUUAUCGCCGAAGGAUUGGCCCGCGUUGGAUUAGGUAGUUGGUGGGGUAAUGGCCUACCAAGCCGACGAUCCAUAGCUGGUUUGAGAGGAUGAUCAGCCACACUGGGACUGAGACACGGCCCAGACUCCUACGGGAGGCAGCAGUGGGGAAUCUUAGACAAUGGGGGAAACCCUGAUCUAGCCAUGCCGCGUGAUCGAUGAAGGCCUUAGGGUUGUAAAGAUCUUUCAGGUGGGAAGAUAAUGACUGUACCACCAGAAGAAGCCCCGGCUAACUCCGUGCCAGCAGCCGCCGUAA